rnacentral:rRNA from 1 species
AUGACCACGCCCAGCUCGCAAUUCUACUCACGGCCGCCGCCGCCGCCAGUAAUCCUACUAGUCUUAGUCGUCCUUGCCGCCAUGGCCAUCAUUGCUGAAGCUGAAGCUGAAGCUCAAGCUCAAGGGGAAGGGGAAGGGGGUUGCCUCCACAAGUGCGGCGACAUCGACAUCCCCUUCCCCUUCGGCAUCGGCGUCGGCCCGGGCUGCUUCCGGCAUGGCUUCGAGGUGUUCUGCUCCUGCUCGUUAUAUCUGCAAGUGCUGGGACCAUUACGAUGGCAACCCAUACAUUGCAAACGGAUGCCAAGGUACAUAUGAUAUUACAUACUCCUACAUUCAUACAUGCAAUGCAAGAAACAAACUGUCCAUUACCAACUCGUUAACGUGUUGAUGAUUCUUCAGACAUCGAUGAGUGCAAGCAACCCCAAGUGUAUCCAUGCUCGACUCACGGGAUCUGCAAAAACAGGCCCGGAGGCUAUGACUGUCCAUGCAAAUUCGGAAUGAAAGGCGACGGCAAAGCCGGAACCUGCACACAUGUAUUCACUCCAGCAGCAAAGGCGACUGUGGGUGCAAUAGGUGGUAUUCUUCUUAUGGUGAUUCUAUCGUUUCUUCUUAUUCUUCGCAAAGAGAAAAAGAAGGGGCAAGAAUUCUUCAAAAAGAACGGCGGACCUACAUUAGAGAAGGCAAAUGUCAUAAAACUUUUCAAAAAGGAGGAACUCAAGCCAAUUUUGAAGAGUAGCAACUUGAUCGGUAAAGGUGGCUUUGGUGAAGUUUACAAGGGCCAUCUUGACAAUAAAGAAGUUGCAAUAAAGAAGCCGAUCAGUGGUAGUGUGCUAGAGAAUGAACAAUUUGCAAAUUGAGUCAUCAUCCAAACUCAAGUCAUCCACAAGAACAUUGUUAGGCUCAUUGGUUGUUGCCUUGAAGUUGAUGCCCCCAUGCUGGUCUACGAGUUUAUCACCCAAGGUAGCCUCCAUGACAAUCUUCACAGCAACAAGAACAAUGUAGCUCUCAACUUGGAUGCACGUUUAAGUAUUGCUGCACAGUCAGCGGAUGGUCUAGCUUAUAUGCACUCAAAAGCAAAUAUUAGAAUUCUACACGGUGAUGUCAAACCAGCAAAUAUACUCUUGGAUGAUAACUUUGUACCCAAGAUUUCAGACUUUGGCAUAUCCAGGUUGAUUGCGAGAGACAAGCAACACACCGGAUCAGUCAUCGGCGACAUGAAUUAUAUGGAUUCGGUAUAUCUUCAGGAAGGCCUCCUCACCGAAAAAAGUGAUGUCUAUAGUUUCGGAGUUAUGAUCCUGGAGCUUAUCAGCAGCAGGAUGGCCAUACGUUCCGACAAUAAUAUCUUGGUAAAGAGCUUUCUUGAAGCCCAUAAGAAACAGAAGAAGGCCACCGAGUUUUUUGACAAGGAAAUAGCGAUGCCAGAAGAUUUGGAGCUUCUUGACAGUCUUGCGGUUAUGGCCGUGGAGUGCCUUAGUCUGGAUGUAGAUCAAAGACCAACGAUGAUGGAGGUAGCUGAGCGGCUACACAUACUGAGUCGAUCACGUAAGAUGCAAGAUGUUUGUCACUAA